CUUCACUCCUCCCCUGUGCAUACUAAGUCCGAGGUCACAAAUGAGAUUCAGCCUUAGCAAAUGGAAUCUCGCCCACAGCCUUGGGACAGUAAGCCCUGCUAGUUGUCGGUUACUGGUAAAAGGAGCUCUGGGCAGAUAAGGAGGGCUGUUGAAGCAGAUGCAAGAAGACAAAAUUCUAACAACAACAAGAAAU
rnacentral:lncRNA from 1 species